GCCUUGCACAGGCAAGCUCUUGCACAGUCGCGCAGUCUAGCUUCGUUCAAGCCUCACACAGGCCAACGCAUACACCAUCAAGCAGUCCUGUAGGCCAGCCCAUGUGCCAUCCAGUAGCAUCAUAGUCCAGCAUAGCCGCAUAUUCCAGCAACCCCUACAUCGUCUAGUAGUCCUAUAGGCCAUCCCCUGCACUGUCUAGUACAUUUAGCAGCCGCGCAAUCUAGCACAGCCACACAGUCUAGCAACCAGUAGCCCCAUAAUCCAACAACCAGUAGUCAGUAGUCUAGCGCAGCCAUCAGUUGCACAGUGCAAUUCAGCCUCCAGUCAUUGCGUAGUCUAGUGUAGCCAGCAGUAGCUGCUCGUGCAGUCCAUAUAUCGUGAAGUCUAUAUGUCUGAUAGUAUGACACUUUAAAAAAAAUAUAUUCUCCUUUGAUUUCCUAAGAUUGAUUCUUGGUGUUACGUUGAUAGUUAACCCAGUCAAGGAGGUUGCCCCAGCCCAUAUGGUUUUGUGCCCAACUCCUAUCUACCUAUCUUUUAGUCCCACGGACGCUAUAGUUGCAGGUACUCUUAUCGCUUUUCAUGAUAAGUCAAGUCACCCCACUUGAAUUCUGAAUUUUGGAGCUAAUAAUAACAUGACUGGUGAGCUUUCUACUUUUACCUCUUCUAUUAGUUUCAUAAAUCAAUCUGUUUGUAUUGCUGAUGGACCAUCUAUUCCCAUUUAUAGUCAGGGUGAUGCCCACUUUUCCACAGAUAUUACUCUUUCCUCAAUUUAUUAUGCUCUGAAUUUUGCCUAUAAUUUUCUUUCUGUUAGUUGUCUUGCAAAAAACCUUAAUUGUGCCGUUGUAGUCUUACCAUCUCGUUGUUUCUUGCAGGACUUGAUUUCGAAGAAGAUUCUUGGCAGGGGAUAUGAGAGUGAUGAACUGUACUACUUUGGGGAUCCGCCAACAUCUAUUGCUUUGUCCUUCAAUCUUCAAGCCUCUACUCUACCAGUCUUAGAGCCCUCCAUUUUAAGUUAGUCUAUAUUAAAUUCGUUUGUUUGUUCUAUUAAAACUUUAAAUUAGUGGCAUGCUCAUUUAGGGUAUGCAAUUUUUUUGUAUUUAUGUUGCCUUUUCUCCCAUCUUAAAAAGGCAUGCCAGAAAGUUACUUUUAAAUGUUUCAUUUGUGAAUUGUCUAAACAUACUCGCACCUCUUAUAUUUCACGCAUGCAUUGUGCACCGAGUGCUUUUGACCUUAUUCACUCAGAUGUAUAGGGCCCGUCUCCAGUUACUUCUUUCUCUUAACACCAUUAUUAUAUCACCUUUAUGGAUGACUACACUAGGUGUACUUAGGUCUACUUGAUGCGCAAUAAAUCCGAGGCCUUUUUCCACUUUACUUAUUUUCUACAAAUGAUCAAAGGGGUAUUGGUGUUAUGAUCCUGUCACUUUUGAAAACUGUUCCAUUCUUCUCAGGUUCUCCAUUUUCUCUGGGCCAUGCUUCAAAGCUGAUUGUGGAAGAGGGCUCUACACCUCCACGUCCGCUUCCUAUACUUGAGUCUCCUCCAAUAUCGCCCAGUGACUCUUUACCCUCGAGUGUUACUACCGACCCCUCAUAGGACUACCCUUAUUAUUCACACGCUCCAGCUCCCCUGCCAACAUCUUCUACGAAUUCAAGUAUCUCUUCUCCUUUAGUUUCUAAUAUACCUCAUCUCCGUUAUCCCACACGUGUUCGUUGUCCCCCUCCCCCCAUUUUCUUCUUUCAAAUAGUACUAAUCACUCUAUUGCACAAUAUCUAUCUUACCAAGGUCUUUAAGACUCCUAUCAGUCUUUUUUGAGUCAAGUGGACUCGGUCUCGAUUCCUCGCUUUGUCCAUGAAGCUCUUUAGAAUCUCUGAGGGUUUCUGCAAUGAAAGCCGAAAUGGAUGCUAUUCAGCACAAUCGAACUUGGGAUCUUAUUGCUUUGCCGAAAGGAGAUCGCACUGUUGGGUUAUAAAUGGGUGUUCAGUGUGAAGUAUUUGGCAGAUGGUUUGGUUGAUCGAUAUAAAUGGUUUUGUUGCUAAAGGCUUUACUCAGAUUGCAUGUAAAGAUUUGGGUGCCACUUUUGCCCUAGUUGCCAAAUUAAACACUAUUUGCCUUCUGAUUUUUCUUGUUGCUUCUUAUUCGUGGCUUCUUCACCAAUUGGAUGUCAAAAAGGCUUUCCUUAAUGGUGAUCUUUCUGAGAUUAUAUAUAUGGAUUUACCUUUAGGUUUUUGGACUUAGGGGGAGUAUUCGGAAAAUGUUUGUCGCCUCCAAAAAUCUAUCUAUGGCUUUAAGUAGUCUCCUUGGAUUUGGUUCUAUCACUUUGGUAAGGUAGUCUUGUCUAUGAGGUUUGUUCGGUGCCACUCAAAUCAUACUUGCUUUAUUCGUCGCCAGUCUUAAGGUCGGUGCAUUAUUAUCUCAGUUUAUGUUGAUGAUAUUAUUAUCAUGGGAGACGAUAUUUCUGGUAUUGUUCAGGUAAAAUGUAGGCCUAGGAAAGCUUUUGACAUU
rnacentral:lncRNA from 1 species